rnacentral:rRNA from 1 species
GGAGGAAAGCAGGGGAUCGCAAGACCUCACGUUAUAGGAGCGGCCGAUGUCCGAUUAGCUAGUUGGUGGGGUAAAGGCCUACCAAGGCGACGAUCGGUAGCUGGUCUGAGAGGAUGAUCAGCCACACUGGGACUGAGACACGGCCCAGACUCCUACGGGAGGCAGCAGUGGGGAAUUUUGGACAAUGGGCGAAAGCCUGAUCCAGCCAUGCCGCGUGCGGGAAGAAGGCCUUCGGGUUGUAAACCGCUUUAGUCCGGGAAAAAGGGGUGCGAGGAUAAUACCCUUGUGCUUUGAUGGUACUGGAAGAAUAAGCACCGGCUAACUACGUGCCAGCAGCCGCGGUAAUACGUAGGGUGCGAGCGUUAAUCGGAAUUACUGGGCGUAAAGCGUGCGCAGGCGGUCUUGUAAGACAGUCGUGAAAGCCCCGGGCUUAACCUGGGAACUGCGUUUGAAACUACAAAGCUAG